UACGGAGGGAGCUAGCGUUGUUCGGAAUUACUGGGCGUAAAGCGCGUGUAGGCGGCUAAGUAAGUCGGGCGUGAAAUCCCACGGCUCAACCGUGGAAGUGCACUCGAAACUGCAUAGCUAGAGUCCUGGAGAGGAAGGUGGAAUGCUUGGUGUAGAGGUGAAAUUCGUAGAUAUCAAGCGGAACACCGGUGGCGAAGGCGGCCUUCUGGACAGUGACUGACGCUGAGACGCGAAAGCGUGGGGAGCAAACAGG
rnacentral:rRNA from 1 species